rnacentral:rRNA from 1 species
UACGUAGGGUGCAAGCGUUGUCCGGAAUUAUUGGGCGUAAAGAGCUCGUAGGCGGUUUGUUGCGUCGGCUGUGAAAACCCGAGGCUCAACCUCGGGCCUGCAGUGGGUACGGGCAGACUAGAGUGCGGUAGGGGAGAUUGGAAUUCCUGGUGUAGCGGUGGAAUGCGCAGAUAUCAGGAGGAACACCAAUGGCGAAGGCAGAUCUCUGGGCCGUAACUGACGCUGAGGAGCGAAAGCAUGGGGAGCGAACAGG